rnacentral:rRNA from 1 species
UACACACCGCCCGUCACACCAUGGGAGGUUGGUCUUACCUGAAGACGGUGCGCUAACCGCAAGGAGGCAGCCGGCCACGGUAGGGUCAGCGACUGGGGUG